rnacentral:rRNA from 1 species
CCUACGGGAGGCAGCAGUAGGGAAUCUUCCACAAUGGGCGAAAGCCUGAUGGAGCAACGCCGCGUGGGUGAAGAAGGUCUUCGGAUUGUAAAACUCUGUCGUCAGAGACGAAAGUGCGCGAGAGUAACUGUACACGUUUCGACGGUCUCCAACCAGAAAGCCACGGCUAACUACGUGCCAGCAGCCGCGGUAAUACGUAGGUGGCAAGCGUUAUCCGGAUUUAUUGGGCGUAAAGGGAACGCAGGCGGUCUGUUAAGACAGAUGUGAAAGCCUUGGGCUUAACCGGGGAAGUGCAUUGGAAACUGGGGGGCUUGAGUGCAGAAGAGGAGAGUGGAACUCCAAGUGUAGCGGUGAAAUGCGUAGAUAUAUGGAAGAACACCAGUGGCGAAGGCGGCUCUCUGGUCUGUAACUGACGUUGAGGUUCGAAAGCGUGGGGAGCAAACAGGAUUAGAUACCCCAGUAGUC